GGGAUUGCCCUAGUAACGGCGAGUGAAGCGGCAAAAGCUCAGAUUUGAAAUCUGGCGUCAUUUUGACGUCCGAGUUGUAAUCUGUAGAGGAGUAUUCGAGUUUGGCAUUGGCUAAAGUUCCUUGGAAGAGGGCGUCAGAGAGGGUGAGAACCCCGUGUUAAGCCUUUGUUUUUUCUCAUGUGAAUCUCCUUCAACGAGUCGAGUUGUUUGGGAAUGCAGCUCUAAAUGGGUGGUAAAUUCCAUCUAAAGCUAAAUACUGGCAAGAGACCGAUAGCGCACAAGUAGAGUGAUCGAAAGAUGAAAAGAACUCUGAACAGAGAGUUAAAUAGUACGUGAAAUUGUUGAAAGGGAAGCACUUGCUACCAGACGCACUUGCAGCUAAUCAGCCUUCAUUUUUGGAGGUGCACUUGGUUGUAUGUGGGUCAGCAUCAGUUACGGCGGAGGGAUAAAGAUCCAAGGAAUGUGGCUCCUCUCGGGGAGUGUUAUAGCCUUGGAUGUAAUACCUUCAGUUGUGACUGAGGAUCGCGCCUUUUGGUGAGGAUGCUGGCAUAAUGGUCGUAAGUGACCCGUCUUGAAACACGGACCAAGGAGUCUAACAUCUAUGCGAGUGUUUGGGUGUCAAAACCCUUACGCGAAAUGAAAGUGAAUGAAGGUGGGAACCGCAAGGUGCACCAUCGACCGAUCCUGAUGUUCUCGGAUGGAUUUGAGUAGGAGCAUAGCUGUUGGGACCCGAAAGAUGGUGAACUAUGCCUGAAUAGGGUGAAGUCAGAGGAAACUCUGAUGGAGGCUCGCAGCGGUUCUGACGUGCAAAUCGAUCGUCAAAUUUGGGUAUAGGGGCGAAAGACUAAUCGAACCAUCUAGUAGCUGGUUCCGGCCGAAGUUUCCCUCAGGAUAGCAGUAACGAUUAAGUAGUUUUAUGAGGUAAAGCGAAUGAUUAGAGGCCUUGGGGUUGGAACAACCUUAACCUAUUCUCAAACUUUAAAUAUGUAAGAAGUCCCUGUUACUUAAUUGAACGUGGACAUUGGAAUAUACGUUACUAGUGGGCCAUUUUUGGUAAGCAGAACUGGCGAUGCGGGAUGAACCGAACGCGAGGUUAAGGUGCCUAAAUACACGCUCAUCAGAUACCACAAAAGGUGUUAGUUCAUCUAGACAGCAGGACGGUGGCCAUGGAAGUUGGAAUCCGCUAAGGAGUGUGUAACAACUCACCUGCCGAAUGAACUAGCCCUGAAAAUGGAUGGCGCUUAAGCGUGUUACCUAUACCUUGCCGCCAUGGUAGACACUAUGCCAUGGCGAGUAGGCCGGCGUAGGGGUUUGUGACGAAGCCUAUGGAG
rnacentral:rRNA from 1 species